GCUCAGAAACUCAAAGGAAUUGACGGGUCCCCCGCACAAGCGGCGGAGCAUGCGGCUUAAUUCGAUGCAACCCGAAGAACCUUACCUGGGCUUGACAUCAUGGGAAAAGCCGUAGAGAUACGGUGUGCAUUAGCGUCCAUGACAGGUGGUGCAUGGCUGUCGUCAGCUCGUGUCGUGAGAUGUUGGGUUAAGUCCCGCAACGAGCGCAACCCUUGUCCUAUGUUGCCAGCGGUUCGGCCGGGGACUCAUAGGAGACUGCCGGGGAUAACUCGGAGGAAGGUGAGGACGACGUCAAGUCAUCAUGCCCCUUAUGUCCAGGGCUGCACGCAUGCUACAAUGGUCGGUACAACGGGCUGCGAUCCCGCGAGGGUGAGCGAAUCCCUAAAAACCGGCCUCAGUUCGGAUUGGAGUCUGCAACUCGACUCCAUGAAGUCGGAGUCGCUAGUAAUCGCGGAUCAGCUAAGCCGCGGUGAAUGCGUUCUCGGGGAUU
rnacentral:rRNA from 1 species